rnacentral:rRNA from 1 species
GUGGGGAAUAUUGGACAAUGGGGGGAACCCUGAUCCAGCCAUGCCGCGUGUGUGAAGAAGGCCUUUUGGUUGUAAAGCACUUUAUGCGAGGAGGAGGCUACCGAGAUUAAUACUCUUGGAUAGUGGACGUUACUCGCAGAAUAAGCACCGGCUAACUCUGUGCCAGCAGCCGCGGUAAUACAGAGGGUGCAAGCGGUAAUCGGAUUUACUGGGCGUAAAGCGCGCGUAGGUGGCCAAUUAAGUCAAAUGUGAAAUCCCCGAGCUUAACUUGGGAAUUGCAUUCGAUACUGGUUGGCUAGAGUAUGGGAGAGGAUGGUAGAAUUCCAGGUGUAGCGGUGAAAUGCGUAGAGAUCUGGAGGAAUACCGAUGGCGAAGGCAGCCAUCUGGCCUAAUACUGACACUGAGGUGCGAAAGCAUGGGGAGCAAACAGGAUUAGAUACCCCAGUAGUCC